rnacentral:tRNA from 1 species
GGCGGUGUAGCUCAGUUGGUAGAGCAGCGGACUCAUAAGCCGCUGGCCGGGGGUUCGAAACCCUCCACCGCCACCA